GCCGAGGUAGCUCAGUUGGUAGAGCACGCGACUGAAAAUCGCGGAGUCGCCGGUUCAAGUCCGGCCCUCGGCACCA
rnacentral:tRNA from 1 species